rnacentral:rRNA from 1 species
GUGCCAGCCGCCGCGGUAAGACGGAGGGUGCAAACGUUGCUCGGAAUCACUGGGCAUAAAGCGCACGUAGGCGGCCAACUAAGUCAGGUGUGAAAGCCCCCGGCUCAACCGGGGAAUUGCUCCUGAUACUGGUUGGCUAGAGGACGGUAGGGGUGAGUGGAACUCCAGGUGGAGCGGUGAAAUGCGUAGAUAUCUGGAGGAACACCGGUGGCGAAAGCGGCUCACUGGACCGUGUCUGACGCUGAGGUGCGAAAGCUAGGGUAGCGAACGGGAUUAGAAACCCGUGUAGUCC